ensembl:lncRNA LINC00588 long intergenic non-protein coding RNA 588
GAUGUACACUAAGCGACCCUCAGCUGUGUGGGACCAGCCCUGCCAACUUCCAUCGUGGGCUCAGCUGCAGCUGCCACCUGCACACGGUGCGGGGAAGCAGUGAUGGCAACCUUUCACCGUGCCCACGCCACCAGCAGCGUGAAACCCAGGGCCAGACGUCACCAGGAGCCUAAUUCAGGCGAUUGGCCUGGCAGCUACAGGGCGGGAACUCGCUGCUCAGCCAUCGGAUUUAGGCUGCUGCACAGUCCCCAGCACUGGCGACCUCGUUCUCUGGGCGCAGGGCAAGGAAGAGAGGACCCCAGUUGGGAGGGUGGUGCACUCGGAGACCUGAAGGCCCUCUGGGACCAGCCUUGCCAGCCUCCGCCUUGGGUUCAGCUGCAGCUGUCAUCUGCAUAUGGCGCGCGGCAGCAGAGGUGGCAACUCUCAACGCUGCCCGAGCCACCAGCAGCGCGGACCCCUGGCCAGAUGCCCCAGCAGCGCCUAAUUCGGGCGGCCGGCCCUUCAGCUGCAGGAGGGGGGAACCAGUGGCUCAGCCCCAUGUAGGCGGCUGCACAGUGCCCAGCACUCAAGACCUCGCGCUCAAAAGAGGGCACAGGAGGAGCAGCUGCAGGGGGCAGCGUCGUUAGGCGGGCCCUGAGACAGCUGGGACCGCGCGCUCGGCUCUAGGGAGCUCGGCCAGUCCACAGGCGUCUCAGCAGCAGCUGCCACCUGCAUGCGGUGCCGGCGAGUGCUCGGCUCAGGGCGGUUUCUGGCCACACGCAGUUUCUGGCCACGCGCAAGGCGGUUGCCUUUUGAGGUCCCAUGGGCGCUGGGGCCCAACUGCUCUGCUCCGUAUAUUAUUUAUUCUCCGAGAGGUUGGAGACGUCCUUGUCCGAGAAGUUGGAGGGUCCCUGUCUGAGGUCUGGGCCAGACUGCCUUGCUUUCUGGUGCUGGGCCGGAUGGGGGCCGGGUGGGGGCUGGGCUGGGGGAAGGGCGAGGGCGAGUUGUGGCGUCUCUGAAGCCAAUAGCUGGGCCAUGAAGAUGAUCUUGGCUGUGGAGAGCCAGAAGGGCCAGGUGCGCCUGAGCUCCUGGAGUAGUAACUGCAUCUUCUCUGACCCCUGGUACCAGACUCCAGAUGAGGAUGUCGGGAUGAUACACAAAGCUGCGUCCAGGGGAACGCGUGGGAGCUGCAGCUGAGGCUCCCGCUGAAGAGAAAAGACCAGUCUGAAAUCUACAAGAACAGAGAAUUCUUCCAAAUCAACAUGAAAAUACCUCUAAAACUGGGCAAAGUACUUUUUCCAGCUCUGCAAGUCACCUAUGCACAUAGGAAAAAAAUACUUAAUGUGUCCGAUAAGAGAAGGACUUUAAUUUAAAAAAGGAAUAAAAUGCCGUUUUCUGUCCUAAGUUUGUGAAGAUGAGGAGCAGUGAUAUUUACACUUCUGCUUAAAGUUAAGUUGCUGAUGACUUUUCAAAAAGACAAUUUGGUGGAUGGUUCCACAUUUGGCCUGUGCCAAUGGCUGCCCAGAAGUGGUAACUUUUCUGGUGCACAGAAAAUGCCAGCUUAACAUCUGUGACAGUGAAAACAAGACACCUCUAACGAAGGCUAUAAUGUGCCAAGAAGAUGUGAAACUAUUCUGCUAGACCUUGGUGCUGAUCCAAAUAUUACCGAUGUCUAUGGCAACACUGCUCUCCAUAUGCUGUCUAUAAUGAGAAUAUGUCAAUGGUAGCAAGACUGUUUUCACACAAGACAAACAUCGAAGUGAAAAACAAUGUAGAGCAACCAAUGUUAUUUUCAAAAUAUUUGAAAUCCACUUGUUUUAACAUUGACAUAUGUAAGGGUCAGUUUUUGCUAUUUGGAAGCUUAAGCAAUCCCUGAAUAAAAAUAAUUUGAAAUAAUGGUCUAAGAUUUUACCUUAAAUACUAAUAUCUUUAAAAAAGUAUUAGAGAGUAUGGCUUUCUUUUAUGCAUUUAUGGUAGAUAUUUGAAUUUGUUAUAGGUAAAACUUUUGUUUUCAAUUUUUUUUUGACUGAAGUAUUUUUUUUUCUUUCUAAGUAGUGUACAACAACACAGGAAAGCAAAGUUGGCCUGCAUAAAUUAAGCCAACGUGUAAAAUUUAGGAGACCUGCAAAAAUCUGUAUUUCAGGCUCCUCUUAAAUAGUGAAAUCUGGUUUCCCUUGAGCCCAUAUUACUGUUUGGUGUGCUAUGAAGAGGCUGUAGCUUCACGCAAAGUCUGUGGUCUCCAGUUUGCCAUUGUGCCCACCUAGGGACUUACUCAGGUCAUACCCUUUGCCUCUGUAAAUAUUUUAGUUAACAACUCCUGUCAUAUAGUAUAUUUUGGUAAAGAUUUCAAGGUUUUCAAGACAGUUGAUAGUUAUUUAUAAUAUAUAGCCUAUAUUUUGUAUUAAUUCCUUAAUAAUGGGUUUGACUUUUAGAAUUUAGAAGUUGUUUUUUAAAUAAUGAUUUUUCUUUAUAUAUACCAUAAAUAAUAAUCACAUUGGAAUGCCUAUAGGCCUUUUUAGGUUAAUUAUGGUUAUAUUUGGAUAGGUUAUGCAUAUUGCAGAACACAUUUUAUCUUUCUCCUCAGCAUUGUCUCUGAAAAUGGAAGUGAUUUAGUGGCUUUUAUUAUGCUAAAAUAACCCAUAUAGUUCAGCUAGAAAUUGUAUUGAUAAGCCAUUGCAUUUGUAUUUCUGAUAUUUUGCCAAAAAUAAAAAAUAAUUUUAAGUAGCAAUGAAAAUGGAAACCAGAAUAAAAAUGGAUUAAUGCAUUUUAAGAAGUAGAUUUGCAUUAGGGUCCUAGGAUUAUAAAUAUCAUUAAAAUUGAGAAUAAAAUUUCAUACUGAACUUUGUAACAGCUAAAAUUCUGUGACUCUGUAAUAGGAGAAACCCAAUGGACCAUUUAAUAAUAAGCAAUCAAAAUUCAUUUGAAGCCUAUCUCUUUUAAUUUAGAGACCAUUUCCUUAGUGAUCUACUUGGAGCAGGAGCACCUGACUUUGGCAGCUGGGAUCCUGGGCCCAUUGAUAGAAAAUAAUCAAGUGAGUUUGUAUCACUUGGAGGAAACCUCUACCUUUAUUGGAAAGCUUUAAAAACUGUAAUCCUGAAACUUUAAUUCCUCAAAUGUUAAUAUUGCCACAAAACCUAUUGUCAAAUAAGGAUUAGGCAAAGUUCAAGACAUUUCUUGAAUACUGGACAUAUAAUUCACAGUUUUAUAAUAUUUCUCAAACAUAGAUGAUCAUAGGAUCUUCCUAUUCAGGUACAGUCUUUAAAUUCUGGCAAAGUAAAUAUUCUUUGGAAUACAGUUUAAGAAGUACUACUCUAGAGGUAAUAAUUUAGAUCAUUGAUUUAAUAAAAAUACUUAAAGUAUUUACUACUAUGUCAUAGGGUUUGAGGAUAAACAGAUAAAAGAUACAGCAGCUGCCCUCAAGAAUCUGUUGGUUUAGAUAGAAAUCAAUAAAAUUAUUACAAUAUACCAUGUGAAAUGCUGUGCUAGAAACAAAGAUUAUUGAAACCAGUGACUGUUUCAAAUCAUUUUUGGAGCUGACCAGAGUUAAUGUGAGUCAGAGGCCGGAUGUUUUCAAGUGGAGGAGGAGUGCAUGGGAAAGCACAGAGGAGUGAGAAGGAAGGGACAGAUUUUAUUUGCUUUCUAUUUUAUGUGUUUAAGUUCAUAAGACCUUAUAUAAGGUAUUCAGUUCAGCUGACAAAUAUGUAAUUUUAUGAAUUAUAAAUUGUUUUUGCCAUUUUACAGGAUGGCCUCAUACCACUUUUACUUGCCAUAACUAAAAGAAGACAGCAAAUGGUAUAAUUUUUACUAACAAAAAAUGCAAAUGUAAAUGCAGUUGAUAAAGGUUUAGUCAUUUUUUUAAAGUGAGUGUUGUUCUAGAGUCGUAACAUUCAAGUUGGAAAUAUUAAGUUAAUCAGCAGAUUAGCUUAUAUUUAUUGGAUUAUAGUGGAAAAUAUCAAAACAAAUCACCAGUUAGGUAGAAAAGCAAUUACUUGGACUGGGCAACAUAAAGAACAUAUGUAUAUGAUAGGAUUUAUAUUCUCUUAUUAUAUUGGCUGAUGUUAUUUACAAUCUGAUGUUUUUGUCACAUUAUCUUCUAUUAGUAAAGGGUUUUGUAUUAGUUUUAUAAAAUAUGA